rnacentral:rRNA from 1 species
GACGAACGCUGGCGGCGUGCUUAACACAUGCAAGUCGAACGUGAUUUUUAAGGAAAGCCCUUCGGGGUGGGAAUUAAAAUGAAAGUGGCGAACGGGUGAGUAACACGUGAGCAACCUACCUUACACAGGGGGAUAGCCGUUGGAAACGACGAUUAAUACCGCAUGAGACCACAGAAUCGCAUGAUAUAGGGGUCAAAGAUUUAUCGGUGUAAGAAGGGCUCGCGUCUGAUUAGCUAGUUGGAAGGGUAAAGGCCUACCAAGGCGACGAUCAGUAGCCGGUCUGAGAGGAUGAACGGCCACAUUGGAACUGAGACACGGUCCAAACUCCUACGGGAGGCAGCAGUGGGGAAUAUUGCACAAUGGGGGGAACCCUGAUGCAGCGACGCCGCGUGAGCGAAGAAGGUUUUCGAAUCGUAAAGCUCUGUCCUAUGAGAAGAUAAUGACGGUAUCAUAG